rnacentral:rRNA from 1 species
AAAUUGAAGAGUUUGAUCAUGGCUCAGAUUGAACGCUGGCGGCAGGCCUAACACAUGCAAGUCGAACGGUAACAGAAAGCAGCUUGCUGCUUUGCUGACGAGUGGCGGACGGGUGAGUAAUGUCUGGGAAACUGCCUGAUGGAGGGGGAUAACUACUGGAAACGGUGGCUAAUACCGCAUAACGUCGCAAGACCAAAGAGGGGGACCUUCGGGCCUCUUGCCAUCAGAUGUGCCCAGAUGGGAUUAGCUAGUUGGUGAGGUAACGGCUCACCAAGGCGACGAUCCCUAGCUGGUCUGAGAGGAUGACCAGCCACACUGGAACUGAGACACGGUCCAGACUCCUACGGGAGGCAGCAGUGGGGAAUAUUGCACAAUGGGCGCAAGCCUGAUGCAGCCAUGCCGCGUGUAUGAAGAAGGCCUUCGGGUUGUAAAGUACUUUCAGCGGGGAGGAAGGUGUUGUGGUUAAUAACC